GCCCCCAACCUAUUGAUUUGGUUAUUGAUGAAUCUUUAUAAUGUUCUGUAGUGUAAAAAUGGCUAUACACUUGCAUUAGCUUUAGAUUACUCUGCCUGGAAAAAAGCUGUUCAUUAGUUCAAAAAAGUAAACAUCUUUGAUUUCAAGCUGUAUUUAAAGAUCCCUAUGUCAAACUCAUCAGAGCUUAUGUAAAUAUUCUCAAGGAAAGACUGAUUUAAUUCUUAAAAAAAAAAAAAAAAAUUGGAAUGACUUUUAGAUGCAUUUGGUAGAUCUGCCCUUCCUUGUUCUCAAGUUGUUUUAGAAUAUGGUUAGUUCAACAGGCUAAGUGCCUGGACAUGUCUGACAUACUUUUGAGACUAGGGCAACAUAUCUCACAAGUGAAAGGUCAUGCUCUUCAGUCUUCCUAAGGUUUUUAGAAGUAAGGAGAAAAGGCAUGCCUUUUCUCAAGUAGUAACCAUAUUUUAAAAAGCAAACAGAAAACCACCUCCCAGUCCAGGCUUUUACCAAUAUAACUUAAAAAUGGUAUCACGAAAGGAAUCCAUGCCACAACACAUUUUUAUUAGCCUUCUAUCUAUGCUCCGUAAUAACAAAGCCAGUUCCCUUCUCUGGAAGUACAAGGAAGGCAAACAAGGCCCGUUUUGUCCUAAGCAUACUCGUUAACUUUUCUGAUCACUCAAAAUCCUUGCUUCUGCCAAGCCCUGUGUUGCAUCUACUGUAUUAUUCCUCUGAUUGCUUAAGGGAUUGUGACAGGGACAAAUAAAGAGUAUCUGUUUCAGCUAGCCUUUUGUAUGGUCUUCCCUGAAAUCUUGACAGGCUUUAGCUGAACUGGAAAAAUGUGAUAGCUUACCCUGUGCUUCCGUCAGUAUGAUUAUAAAAGACUGACCAUCCAAAUAUGUUGCUUGUUUGGAUAUAUCUAAACCUUAGUAGGAAAAAAUAUGGUAGUCAUCAGUUUAGUUCUGCAUUUGUAUUUGCCAUUAAUUUAACCACCUUAAAAAAAUGAACACUUCAGUUAUCUGUUUGAAUUUGCAGGGAUUGAAACAUUAGCUGUCAUCACAGCAGGGUGGUAAUUCAAAUGCAUAUUGACAUUUAUGUUUCUACGUUAACUGCUUAGCUGCUGAUCUCAGCUCAUUCAGGAUAAUAAGACAUGAACUAUCCACGAUGCAUGACAGGUAAUCUUUGUGCUGUGAAUAGAGGGUGUUUUGGAGAGGACAGCAAUCUGUGCCUUUAAGUUAACUGGCUGCAAGUGAGAAGUCAGUUUUAAUACUCUGCAAAGCUCUUCACGCUUUAGGAAUUUGUGUCUGUAUCCCCACACAAGCUCAUUCCACAGCAGGUGGUUUUGUUCUCCAGUAGUAAGUUUGGUUCCAUUUUUGCCAAAGCAGCUGCUACAGUCUCUCCUAGAGACUGACAGAAAUAUUUGCCCAAAUCCCAUUAGUUUUUCUCCAAGAUAUCAAAGAUAUGGUAAAAGAUGAGAUCCUAUAUGUCAGGUGCCAGAACUCCAUCCCUGAGGAUGGACCUAAACCACAUAAGUGGGGAAGACUCAGCAAAGCAUGAGUGACUCAGCAAAGCAGGUCCUGAACAGAAGUGGACUCUUGGCUGGCACCUCAUUCACUGAACAAGAAUGGACAGAAUUUAUCCCUUGGGAGGAGCUGAUCAUUUCAAAUAUCUGAAGAGAACUGCUUUCUUCUCGUAUAAAUACGAAUUACGUUGAAUAGAAUUGUCACUGAUUGCGGAUUUGCAGCUGUUUAAGUACCCUCCUCUUCAUCUGGUUUUCAUGGAAGAGGAGGGGGAAAAAAGUAUUUCACUAGCCUCUGAAAUAGUCUUUACCAUAAAUGUAUCAUCUUGCUUUGCAACUGGUUUAAUCUUUCUGCUUCGGUACAGAAGUUAAUGAAAUGAAGGCAUAACUUCUAUAUUGGACAUACUCUCAUUAAGCAGGAUGACUUCAGAUUAUUCCACUUCUCCCAACUGAAACUAAUACAAAUAAUAGUUAUAGAGAAAUUCUUUGAAAGCAGAAUUUCUCUGUAAUUAUUUUAAAAGCAGCCACUUUGUAUACCACUUGCAUACUGCUUCAAGUAUUUUAACUGCCUGCUAGUACAAGAAUCAUCUGUGUUUGAUGCUGGAUAACUUUAAUAUAAUGUACAAAUGGACAAUACCCAUUUAAGUAGUCCUAUUACAAGCCAGGUUUGGUUUACAAGUCUGUACCAUAUUUCCCAUCACCUCACAUGCUUCUGUUUACAAAGGUAAUACAUUGCAGGCAAUACUUUUAUAAACCAUAAACUUAACAACUUUGUCAUAACAUGCUUUGCCUAUGUUGACUGUUAGUCAAAUGCAUUUUUUUCUGAACAGAGUGCAUUAGCACAGCCAAAUACAGCUAUGUAUAAAAAUACCUGUGCUGCUUUGACUACUAGAAACAAUAGCUAUUUCUAUCGCGUUACAUGGGGGAUAACUUAUUUUCAGGGUAGUGGACAUGUGCAGUGAAUAAAUGGUUUGGGGAUGGAGGA